rnacentral:rRNA from 1 species
AUUGAACGCUGGCGGCAUGCCUUACACAUGCAAGUCGAACGGCAGCAUGAUCUAGCUUGCUAGAUUGAUGGCGAGUGCGAACGGGUGAGUAAUACAUCGGAACGUGCCCUGUAGUGGGGGAUAACUAGUCGAAAGAUUAGCUAAUACCGCAUACGACCUGAGGGUGAAAGUGGGGGACCGCAAGGCCUCAUGCUAUGGGAGCGGCCGAUGUCUGAUUAGCUAGUUGGUGAGGUAAAGGCUCACCAAGGCGACGAUCAGUAGCUGGUCUGAGAGGACGAUCAGCCAACCUGGGACUGAGACACGGCCCAGACUCCUACGGGAGGCAGCAGUGGGGAAUUUUGGACAAUGGGGGCAACCCUGAUCCAGCAAUGCCGCGUGUGUGAAGAAGGCCUUCGGGUUGUAAAGCACUUUUGUCCGGAAAGAAAUCGCACUUACUAAUAUUAGGUGUGGAUGACGGUACCGGAAGAAUAAGGACCGGCUAACUACGUGCCAGCAGCCGCCGCAGUAA